UGAAAGACGUUGAAGGAAAGUAGUACCAGUUGUAAGGGUUGAUUAGAGAAGCUUCUUUUUUCUGAGAUGAAGCCCAAUUCUUAUACUGGGAAUUCACUUCCUGAGUCGGCACCUAAAAAGUGUUCCGGUUGAGUGGCCGUUAAACAUGAAGUGUAUAACGUAUUUUUGCGUUGUAAAUUAGGGUGGUACCGCGCGUAGACCUCGUCCCUUGC
rnacentral:ncRNA from 1 species